UUCAAUCGUCACCGCCGUAGAUGUUAUUUUAUUUUUUGUAACAGUGAAGAAAGCGAAUUCGCUUUUAGAAAUUGGAAUAUUUGAAUCGUUUUUUAAAUCAACGUUUGUUUGUGCCCAAUUAAAUUAUUGCCCAUCCAUGCAGGCACAAAUUGAAACGAACUAAUUUCAUAACAAACGAUUCUGUCAUGACCAGAGUGACGUUGUCAGAUAAUGAAACAAAAUUCUUACGUCUAUUUACAAUAGUGCCAAUCUGGUUUAGUUUUUAUGCUUUCUGCGUUUUCCUUGUUUUUAAGUGGAUUUACGAUAUAAACGGACAGGGAUAAGCAAGCAAUCAAAAAAGAAAUACCUACCUAACUCAUCAUAAAAAUUAAGUUGAUUGACAUAUAACCGAAAAGUUUUUUCAUUAAGCAAUUUGCUUUGUUUUUUCACUGCAACUUCAAUUCAUCCCUGUCACAAAAAUGCAUAUAUUUCUCAUUUAGCAUACAUGGACAAUGCAAAAUCCUUUAACCGAUGUUCAGUUGAAUACCCCUGUACUCUUAAAUUAUCUUUUUUAAAUGGCUAAAAAUGCAUUUCGUUUUAACAAUUAAUUAACAUUUACAUUGACCGUUUUGAAGCAAAGUAAUUAAUGAUCUCCAGGGAAAAACCGCGUCAAUUAUGCAACUGAAACAUUAAGUCGUCGUUAUCGAUGAAAUAAUAAGUGCAACCGAAGAAUUAACCACAAGGAGGCAAUUAUCGUAAGUUAUUAAGUUAAAAUAAGAAAAUAUAUUGGACGAGUGGUCGAAAAAGCACCACCAAGAUUUUCUAACCAUUUGGAUUGGUAAAAAUACGAAGAUUUCUGGGUUAUUAAUGUCUUCUUUUGAGAGAUUUACAAAUAGGUAAUAAGUAUACAACUUAAUAAUGUUUCAUCGUUUUGUGCAAAAC